ensembl:lncRNA
ACAGUGUGGUAGCAGGUAUCCUGAAGGUGCUGCCUCUGACACCUCCUGGAAAUUCUGUGUGCACGACUACAAGCAUUAUUUGAUUGCUUGGCUGAGUUCAGGAGAGGGACUCUGCAGCAGCCAGAGUGAAGAACAAAGUGUUGAGAGAUACUGGGAGGACACAGGAAUGCAGAGGACAGGGAUGCUUUUCUAAUUUGUGCAUCAGGGGAUUGGGGGGACUCACCACAGGAGACAGAAGUUGGGUCCUUGAAUCCUUGGGUCAGAAAGCAAAACUUACUCGUAUCUUCUGCUCCACCCAACUAAGCCUGGCCCUGGCUGGGUCACACCCUCACUGAAAAGUAUGUAAGAGAAAAAUCUACUUGCUAGCUCAGGGGGCUGGAAUGAAUUUCAGGCUGUGUCUACGUGGAUGUCAGUGAGGUUUGAGUAAAAUACAGGCUGCGGGAACUUCCCUGAAUGUUUGUAACCAUGGACCUAACUCAUAAAGGAUCAGGGUUGGAACUGAGAUUGUCAAAGCUGUGAACCCCAGUGCACCUGGUGGAAAUACACGCAAACCACUCCUGAAAAAUGAACUCUCCAGCAUCCCCACGCCCCAAAUUCAUGUGGAGCAAUAUGCUUAAAAUGCUUAAAGACAUUUCAAAAAGGAAAUAUAGUUAUCAGAAAAGACAGAGGAUGCUUCAAAAAUACAAGAUAGAUUUUAGAAAAAAAUAAAUGGAACAUGUUAAAAAUGUGAUCAUUGAAACUGGGAUAAUUCAAAUGAGGAACAGCACAUAUGAUGCCCAUGAAAAAAAGAAUUAAUGGGUAGUAGAAUAGAUUAGAAUCAUUUAUCCCACAUCGAACAAAAAGAGAUACAGAGAUUUUAUCUCUCUUUACCUGUUAGAAACCUCAUAGGUUACCUGUUAGAAACCUACCUCUAAUUAGAGGACCAAAGAAAGAAAACAGACAAAAGUGGAAGAGAGGCAAUAUUCAUAGAAAUAAUGAAUAUUUUUCCCACAACUUAUGAAAGAAUGGAGUCUGGAGAAUCAGGAAUUUCAGUAAGUCCUAAGAAAAAUAAGUCCUAUUGAGUACAUACCUAAACUCAUUGCAGUGAAACUGCAUGCUACCCAAUACAAGACAUGAUUAAACACACACACAGACACGCGCGCGCAUGCGCGCGCUGAGAAGAAACAGACUCCCAAUAAAGAAAAACAAAUUAGUCUGAUAGUAGACCUCUCAACAGUCAUCAGGGAGGCUGGGGUUUACCUUGACUGCCUAAAUUAAAGUCCAUUCCCAAGGACAUCUCAAAUGGCCAAGUAACCAGUCCCUGCUUGUUUACAGAGUGUGAAAGUUGUUUAGAUUUGCAAUGAACCACCUCUCUACCUCCACCUCCCUGAGCUCUGAGGCAAAUGGAUUUCCCUAUUAUAAACUAGGAAUGAGUGUCUGAAAGAAGCCUUUUCUGAUUCCCUGCAAAAGUUCAUUCAUCAGGAGGAAGGGGAGUCAUCCCAGCCUUCACCACCUGUGGAACGCAGCAACCUCACUGUGGGAGACACCAGUAGAGCCUGGACGCAGCUGACCUUAAUGUUUAUUCAAUCAAUGCUGGGAAGGAAACUAACAUUCAAAGGUGCUUUGCUCUGCUUGCCUCCAGGACUGGGGCAGGAGAAUGCCUUGUAGAGUGUGCUUUGUGCUAUUAUGGUCAAACUGGCAUAGUCAGCCAAAAGAGAGGCGCCCACAUAGAUCCCCCAGAAGAAGUCACUGAUGUGGAGGUGGCAAAGUGUAAGAAAGACAGAACCAAUCUGG